rnacentral:rRNA from 1 species
UACGUAGGUGGCGAGCGUUGUCCGGAAUUACUGGGUGUAAAGGGCGUGUAGGCGGGAAUGUAAGUCAGAUGUGAAAUGCCAAGGCUUAACCUUGGAGCUGCAUCUGAAACUGCGUUUCUUGAGUGUCGGAGAGGAAAGUGGAAUUCCUAGUGUAGCGGUGAAAUGCGUAGAUAUUAGGAGGAACACCAGUGGCGAAGGCGACUUUCUGGACGAUAACUGACGCUGAGGCGCGAAAGCGUGGGGAGCAAACAGG